rnacentral:rRNA from 1 species
GAUGAACGCUGGCGGCGUGCUUAACACAUGCAAGCCGAACGGAAAGGCUCCUGCUUGCAGGGGUACUCGGGUGGCGAACGGGUGAGUAACACGUGGGUGAUCUGCCCUGCACUUCGGGAUAAGCCUGGGAAACUGGGUCUAAUACCGGAUAGGACCACAUUUUGGAUGGUGUGGUGGAAAGUUUUUCGGUGUGGGAUGAGCUCGCGGCCUAUCAGCUUGUUGGUGGGGUAAUGGCCUACCAAGGCGUCGACGGGUAGCCGGCCUGAGAGGGUGUACGGCCACAUUGGGACUGAGAUACGGCCCAGACCCCUACGGGAGGCAGCAGUGGGGAAUAUUGCACAAUGGGCGCAAGCCUGAUGCAGCGACGCCGCGUGGGGGAUGACGGCCUUCGGGUUGUAAACUCCUUUCGCUAGGGACGAAGCGCAAGUGACGGUACCUGGAGAAGAAGCACCGGCUAACUACGUG